GAGCGCGCGGUGCGCGUCCCUAGCAGCCGCCCGCCCACGUCAAGGUUUGUUUAAUAAUCGCCCGGGUAUUUAUGGCCGGGGGCUCGGGGCGGCCGCGGGGGAGCCGAGAGACCGCGCGGGGCGGCGGAUGAGGGGCGGCGGCUGUGGCCCAGGGCACCUCCCCCCCGGUUUCCCGAACCCUGCCCGGUCUGACCCGAGGGGGAGGAUGGAAGCACCAGCCACGCUCUGAGCCCCUCCGGAAAAUAACACCCUUCCCGCCACAUCACCCCCGGGUCCUGCGGAGGCCACCGCCUCGUCCCCUCCACGUCUCCAUCUCCCAGAGCGGGGCCGAGUGUUAAAGUGAGCGAUGGCUGAAAACCUGAGGAAACUGGUCUCGAGCGAAACUUUACGAUCGAUGCACGACAAGCUGGAGUGCUGGCUGAGAGAGUACAACACAAACACAUGUGAUCAAAAUCUUAAUCAUUGCCUUGAGGUCAUCGAACAAAUUUCCAAAGUGCAAGGACAAUUCUUUAGGAUCCUCACCACAACAGCCCAAGAAGGUGGACAUUAUGAUGGCGUGGAAAUAAUCAAAUCUCGCCUUCUGCCUUGGCUGGAGGCCUCCUUUACUGCUGCUUCCAUGGGAAAGCCUGUUGACAGCAAGGUCCCCUCUCUACAGGACACAUUUGAUAAGGAGAGACAUAAAGAGGCUGGUGCUCGGGAUCGGGACAAGCAACAAUUAGACUCUGAGUUGACUUCGACUCGUAAUCAACUCAACCAAGUUCAAGACGAUCUGGCUGAAACUGAAAAGACUCUUGAAGAAACCAAGAACAGAUCGGCCAUAUCCCUUUUGGCUGCAGAGGAGGAAAUAAAUCAGCUCAGAAAGCAGCUUAAAUCUCUUCAAGUCCAGGAGGACUCCCGCCACCGAAACUUAGAACACAGAAGCUUGGAGCAUCGGGGUGCGGAGCCUAGAGGCUCAGAGCCGAGGACCUCUGAGCAGAGGAGGUUGGACCAGCGGGGCAUUGACAAGCAGGGUGUAGAGCAGCAGACUGAAGUGAUUUCUGAUUAUGAGAAACAGCUCCGAACGCUGAAGGAAGAGAUCGCUGUCUUGUCUGCUGAGAAAUCUGUGCUUCAAGGAAGGUCCGCCAGGAGCCGGACUCCCAGCCCUGGCCCUCGCAGCCACAGCCGCAGCCACAGCCGCAGCCACAGCCGCAGCCGCAGCCGCAGCCGUUCCACCAGCCCCUCCACCGCAGUCGUAAAGAUCAGGAGCCCGUCCCCGAAUCGCGCCAAAAUGUCCAAUGUGGCGCGCAAGGCUGCCCUCCUGUCCCGGUUCAGCGACGCCUAUUCCCAGGCCCGCCUGGAUGCGCAGUGCCUGCUGCGGCGCUGCAUCGACAGAGCCGAGACCGUGCAGCGGAUCAUCUACAUCGCCACCGUGGAGGCAUUCCACGUAGCUAAGAUGGCAUUCAGACAUUUCAAGAUCCGCGUGAGGAAAUCGUUGACACCAUCUCUCGCAGGGUCGAAUAACUUUGAGGACGCCGUCUCGGAUUAUAUCAUUUGUCAUCUCGAUCUAUAUGAUUCCCAAAGCAGUGUUAAUGAUGUGAUCCGAGCCAUGAAUGUCAAUCCGAAGAUUUCAUUUCCUCCUGAAGUUGACUUUUGCCUCCUCAGUGAAUUCAUCCAGGAGAUAUGUUGCAUUGCCUUUGCCAUGCAGGCUUUAGACCCACCCCUGGAUAUUGCAUUUGGGGCAGAUGGAGAAAUUUUUAAUGAUUGCAAGUACCGUCGCAGCUAUGACUCGGAUUUCACUGCUCCCUUGGUCCUCUAUCACGUGUGGCCUGCUCUCAUGGAGAAUGACUGUGUCAUUAUGAAGGGAGAAGCUGUCACCAAGAGAGGGGCUUUUGUACGUGGAAUUCAGUGCGAUCUGUAAGUCGAUGUCGAAGCAGGAGUUUAAGUCCCAUCUACCCCCGUAGCCGUAUUGGUUUAAGCACGAUAUCUCGAAGCCGGAGCCCUUCUCCAAUAAGAUGUGGAUUGCCACCGAGGUUUUAAAGCCGGCAGACAUGUCCCUUUGCUACAGCACGUCUGCACCAGCCGACUUCCCCAGUGCCUGUCUCCCGUGCCUGCCUCAGCACUCACUUAAGAUAAUGUGAAAACGCAAUUCUGUGUAUCACUCCACACGGAGAGUUAAAUGUCUUGGCUUAGCGUGUUUGUAACUUCAGAUAUAUUGCAUUUUAUUUUAUUUUCUAGAUACAAAUUCCAUUACUUUGAUAAAAACGAUUGCAUAGGUGUUUAGGAUCAUAUUCAUUUGAAGCAAAGUCCCUCAGGGUUUUCAUCCUCAAAUACUAGGCUCUUUUAUGGCAACUCUAGAAACUAAAGUGGAAGAUCUUUACCAUGCGGGCUUCAAAAGACAGAGUCAGUUUAGUCUACAGAUUGAUUGGAAAUAUUGUAAUUGCUGGUAUUAGCUUAAAGCUUGAGAACAAUAUUGAGUGUUUUAAUUUUCUUUCGUUUGAAGACAGCCCUAAUCCCAGGCUGGGGGAACUUGUCCUAGUAGCUUGAUUCAGGCUAUAUGUCGAUGGCAUUGAUUUCGGAGAGAAUGGAGUUCACUGGCUUGCUUCUCUUUUCCUGCUUUGAGAACGCCCUGUUUGGUUUAGUUGGGUACCAAUGCCAAAGCUACUUACCUGAGAGAAUGUUCUUGCUUCAUAAAUGCGGAGAAGUGAUUUGGCUAGAAGCCAGCUUUGAGAGAAAUGGUAAUUCCCUUUUGUUUACCUCUUGGGAAUGUUUCAUACAGUUUCAAUGUACAUGUUACGUAUAGAAGCGACCUGGACGUGUGCUUUAUUUAUUUCAUCUAGUUGUUCACAAAUUCAGACUUCCUAAGAACUGCAUCUGACUAAAAAUACCUAAACUUGGGGCUUAAAACUAGGGGUACCAUGUAUUGAUUUUAAGUUAAGCCAAUAUACCUUGAUUACCGUGACGGACUGUUGAGAAAGUUCAAGUUCAAUGUAAUAAUGGAACGCAGCUUUCCCAAGAUAAGUAACGUUUUGUCUGCUCCCUGCCUCCCCGCCCCACUUUAAUGUGGUCUUAAACACAAGCCUCACAAAUGACUGCUUUCUGUGUGCAUUUUGGAGAGAAACUCUGAAUUGGCCACAGCUCAGUCUGCAUAAACUCAGUGCCCGAACUAGCACCUAAUGAUUUUUAGGUGAAAACAAAAACAAAAACAAAAACCCAAAGCAAAAACUUCUCUGAAGCAUCUUGUCCCUUGUGCUGGUAGCUAGAGAUGAGGAGAGACCCCCUCCAUCCCUGUCCCUUGGGUCUAAUGGUCACCAACUUCAUUUUGAAGCAUGAGGUUCAUUUUCCCCCUCUGUGUAUUUUUAGGCAGUCAUCACGUUGAGGCAAGGCAGCCUGCUGGAAGGAGGGCUUGGUGUUCAGGUAGUUCUGGUUCUGACUUGGCCAUCAGUUUGCUUUGUGGCCUUGAGCAAGGUACUCCACCUCUCUGAGUCUCAGUUUUAUUCUAGAGUGCGCAGGUUGGAUGAGAUCAGUUGUUCUCUCAACGCUCCCAGAUUCAGUGCCCCUUUAUGACAAAUAUUCUGGUUAUUCUGAAAUAAAAUUCAGUGUUAAUAUGAUCCAAAUGCAUAUAUACUUUUAAACAGUGAGUAUAGUAUCCUAACUUAUUACGAAGCAGAAAAAAGGAAAAGUAGUUUUUAAUAAAACGUAUUUCAGUAAGAAAGCUUCGGUAUUGCCAUCCUAGAAGAUAAGAUUAAGUCAUCAGAGGCUUACACCUGUAUGUGGUCAUGAGCAGAUCAAUGUACAUUGUAUUGGCGAUAUCACAACAGCGUUGGAUAUGAUAUUCUGAAAUGGUGGACAACUCCUGAUAAAGUUUUGAACAAAAUCUUAGUCAUGCCUUGAUUUACGUAGUAAGUGCAUCUCUGGAAAAGUUGGUGUACAUUGAAACCAGGCAGCUUUUACUGUGUGUCACAUAUUAAAAAACCUUUUCUAAAAUCUCACGAAGCAAUGAGAAUUCAUUUUUAGGAGUUGAAUGGGGGAACACAUGCCCUGAUUUGGAAAAUGUUCACAUAUAGCUCAGUUUAUUUGCUCUGUAUCCUGUCUGGCCACUUGUCAUUUCUCAAGUCUCUGAUUUGAACUGUAACCACACGGGGAAUAAUGGUAAAGAGUCUAAAAUAAUUUUUGGAAAGGAUCCACAAAAUCAAAGGAGGCUGACCUAUACUCAUCUCAUCUGGGCAUGCACCUUAACCUUAGUAACUUUGAAAUAUGCAAAGCUCUUACUUUGUCAACUGGUAAAUGUCAAUUUCUGUAUUAUUGGCUUAACAUCUAAUAAUAAAAUCAAGAAAAAGAG